rnacentral:rRNA from 1 species
GUGACGUCAAGUCCUCAUGGCCUUUAUGCCCAGGGCUACACACGUGCUACAAUGGGCGGUACAAAGAGAAGCAACCUCGCGAGGGUGAGCAAAUCUCAAAAAGCCGUUCUCAGUUCGGAUUGAAGUCUGCAACUCGACUUCAUGAAGUCGGAAUCGCUAGUAAUCGCGGAUCAGCAUGCCGCGGUGAAUACGUUCCCGGGCCUU